UACCUACGGGUGGCAGCAGUGGGGAAUAUUGCACAAUGGGCGAAAGCCUGAUGCAGCAACGCCGCGUGAGCGAUGAAGGCCUUCGGGUCGUAAAGCUCUGUCCUCAAGGAAGAUAAUGACGGUACUUGAGGAGGAAGCCCCGGCUAACUACGUGCCAGCAGCCGCGGUAAUACGUAGGGGGCUAGCGUUAUCCGGAAUUACUGGGCGUAAAGGGUGCGUAGGCGGUCUUUCAAGCCAGAAGUGAAAGGCUACGGCUCAACCGUAGUAAGCUUUUGGAACUGUAGGACUUGAGUGCAGGAGAGGAGAGUGGAAUUCCUAGUGUAGCGGUGAAAUGCGUAGAUAUUAGGAGGAACACCAGUAGCGAAGGCGGCUCUCUGGACUGUAACUGACGCUGAGGCACGAAAGCGUGGGGAGCAAACAGGAUUAGAUACCCGAGUAGUCCC
rnacentral:rRNA from 1 species